rnacentral:lncRNA from 1 species
GGAGAACGAGGCCCCCGAGGUCUUCCUGGACUCCGAGGUGAGGAAGGAUGCCCUGGUAUGAGGGGACCUAAGGGAGCAAGAGGAUUUUCAGGAGAGAAGGGCAACCCUGGUGAGGAAGGAGUUGAUGGCUUGGAUGGAGAACAGGGUAAUCGCGGAAUCCCAGGGUCAUCUGGAGAAAAAGGAAAUAGGGGAAAUUGGGGCUUGACGGGACCGCCAGGACAACCUGGAGAGCGUGGAGAGCCUGGGUUAAGGGGAGAUCCUGGGGAUCCUGGAACUAAUAGCUAUAUCCAAGGCCCUAAGGGAGAAAAAGGAAGGCGUGGGCGUCAGGGAAGUUCUAAUGUUGAUGGACCUCAGGGAGAAACUGGAAAUGUCGGCCCUUGGGGGACAAUAGGAAGGCGAGGUCUGCCAGGAUUAAAGGGACCAAGAGGAAGGCAAGGACCACCAGGAACUUCUGGACAAAAAGGCUUAGUGGGUGCUCAGGGGAAUCCUGGGCCUCCAGGGCCAAAUGGUUCAAAAGGAAAAGCUGGACCAAGAGGAGUGAAGGGAGAGAUUGGUGAUGUAGGAGAAAGAGGCCCACAGAGUCGACAAGGACCAAGAGGGCAACCUGGUGAACCUGGAUUCCCUGGCUAUCCUCGUGCACAAGGAGAAGAUGGUGACCCGGGCCAUCAAGGAGAAAAGGGGGCAAAGGGAAUAAGAGGGAAGAGGGGUAAUGCUGGCUUUCCUGGAUUUGUUGGAACUUCGGGUGACCAAGGCCCACCAGGACAAAUGGGUAUCAAGGGCCCCAAAGGUUUGGUAGAUAUGACGCCUUGCAAAAUUGUUGAUUUCACACGCGAAAACUGCCGUAAGUUGUUUCGGAAAGGCUCAAAAGGAGCCAGUGGUAUGAGCUGGGGAUGGAUUACGGAUUAGGGCCAUAAGUCACCUGAGGCUUUGGCUGAGGUUUGGAAGGUGCCUUAUUCAUUGUGAAAGGCUCUUAUAAAUUCAUCCAUUGGGCUCAGUUGCCCUUUAGGUAAGUAAUCUUUCCCAAUGUGGUCUCAGAAAUAAAGUGGAUUGACAGCAUGACAUCUCAACGAUGAAGAGAAGCUCCACUGAGCAAUACUGUGCCCCAGGAGAUGUCAUAACUGCACACCUGUGUGCCUACAUCUUGCUGCUGCUUAUCACAAAACAGAGGAGCUUUGUUCUUUUUAUGUAACCCUAUUAAAUAGGAGGGAUCAACAGUCACCCUUUGAGAAGAAAUCUGUCCUAUUUUAUUUACAGUUGUGUUUUGAAAAUGGAAUUAUGAACAAUCCAAUCUUAAGUAAUGUUUUGUCACAUCCUCAAGUUGGAAUUUAUUUAUUAUGUUCAAUGCAUUCCAGGAUAUUUGUGUCCUAUGAUAUGUACAGU